rnacentral:rRNA from 1 species
ACGUAGGGAGCGAGCGUUGUCCGGAAUUACUGGGCGUAAAGGGUGCGUAGGCGGUCGGGUAAGUCUGAUGUGAAAUUCCUGGGCUCAACCCAGAAACGGCAUUAGAUACUAUCCGGCUAGAGGAUUGGAGGGGGGAUUGGAAUUCUCGGUGUAGCAGUGAAAUGCGUAGAUAUCGAGAGGAACACCAGUGGCGAAGGCGAAUCCCUGGACAAUUCCUGACGCUGAGGCACGAAAGCGAGGGGAGCAAACAG